rnacentral:rRNA from 1 species
GUAAAGGCAGAAGAGAGCUUGACUGCGAGACAGACAGGUCGAGCAGGGACGAAAGUCGGGCUUAGUGAUCCGGUGGUACCGUAUGGAAGGGCCAUCGCUCAACGGAUAAAAGCUACCCUGGGGAUAACAGGCUUAUCUCCCCCAAGAGUCCACAUCGACGGGGAGGUUUGGCACCUCGAUGUCGGCUCAUCGCAUCCUGGGGCUGUAGUCGGUCCCAAGGGUUGGGCUGUUCGCCCAUUAAAGCGGUACGCGAGCUGGGUUCAGAACGUCGUGAGACAGUUCGGUCCCUAUCCGUCGCGGGCGUAGGAAAUUUGAGAGGAGCUGUCCUUAGUACGAGAGGACCGGGAUGGACAUACCGCUGGUGUACCAGUUGUGCCGCCAGGCGCAUCGCUGGGUAGCUAUGUAUGGAUGAGAUAAACGCUGAAAGCAUCUAAGUGUGAAACUCGCCUCAAGAUGAGAUUUCCCAUUCCUAUAUGGAAGUAAGACCCCUGAGAGAUGAUCAGGUAGAUAGGCUGGAAGUAGCAGCGCCGUGAGGCGUGGAGCGGACCAGUACUAAUCGGUCGAGGACUUAACCAA